AGAAAAAAGAAAAGAAAGGUGAAGUAUUCCACAAGUGACUGCUCCCCAACCAAGCCAACAAUUAUACUCCUCUAGGUACCUUCUACACAUCAAAGUCCCGGACCAGCACAGACCCCGCCUACACCCGGAUCAUCUCCACACAACAGGAUCAAGUGACUUGGACAAAACCAAGAACAUGGACAGGGAUGACUAGAAUGAGACUGACCCAGAGACAGACAGGAGUGGGAAGCAGUUAAGAAGUUGAUAGACUUAUCAGACUGAACUGGUGGAUGUUAAUGUGGUAGUUGUGUGUAUUAAGUGUAUGUUGAUGUGUAUAGAUUUGUGCAUAAAUGUGUGGGUAUGUUUCCAGUUUUACAAGGCAGAAAAGAAACAGAGCAGACUCUUUCCAGCUUAGCAGUGAUGAGUGGGGGUAAAUUAUUUAGCUAUAAUGUGCUGGAUGGACUUC